AUUGAACGCUGGCGGCAGGCCUAACACAUGCAAGUCGAGCGGCAGCGGGAAAGUAGCUUGCUACUUUUGCCGGCGAGCGGCGGACGGGUGAGUAAUGCCUGGGAAAUUGCCCAGUCGAGGGGGAGAACAGUUGGAAACGACUGCUAAUACCGCAUACGCCCUACGGGGGAAAGCAGGGGACCUUCGGGCCUUGCGCGAUUGGAUAUGCCUGGGUGGGAUUAGCUAGUUGGUGAGGUAAUGGCUCACCAAGGCGACGAUCCCUAGCUGGUCUGAGAGGAUGAUCAGCCACACUGGAACUGAGACACGGUCCAGACUCCUACGGGAGGCAGCAGUGGGGAAUAUUGCACAAUGGGGGAAACCCUGAUGCAGCCAUGCCGCGUGUGUGAAGAAGGCCUUCGGGUUGUAAAGCACUUUCAGCGAGGAGGAAAGGUUGAUGCCUAAUACGUAUCAACUGUGACGUUACUCGCAGAAGAAGCACCGGCUAACUCCGUGCCAGCAGCCGCAGUAACAC
rnacentral:rRNA from 1 species